rnacentral:rRNA from 1 species
AUUGAACGCUGGCGGCAGGCCUAACACAUGCAAGACGAGCGGAGCGCCGGACGGGUGAGUAAUACCUAGGAAUCUGCCUUUCAGCGGUUGAUAACGCUCGGAAACGGACGCUAAUACCGCAUACUAUCAGCUGAGCCUAGGUCGGAUUAGCUAGCUGGGGAGGUAAUGGCUCACCAAGGCUACGACCCGUAACUGGUCUGAGAGGAUGAUCAGUCACACUGGAACUGAGACACGGUCCAGACUCCUACGGGAGGCAGCAGUGGGGAAUAUGGGACAAUGGGCGAAAGCCUGAUCCAGCCAUGCCGCGUGUGUGAAGAAGGUCUUCGGAUUGGAGAGCACUUUAAGUUGGGAGGCGUUACCGACAGAAUAAGCACCGGCUAACUCUGUGCCAGCCGCCGCGGUAAUUC